rnacentral:lncRNA from 1 species
UGAGGCAUUUUCUAUGCUCGGAAGCUCUGCAAUCUGAUUUCUGCUCAACAAGAAACUGAAACAAGCUUCUAGGGGGAGCCGCGGGGCUGCUGCCGUUCGUCUCACAGCGAGCUUCUCCCGGCCCUGACUCCUGGGGAACUCCAAUCUCUGAACGCAGGGGCAGUUCCCGUGCCGUGCCAAGGUGCCGGGGUGGGGAGGCAACACAGCAACACGCGCCCAGCACCAGGCUGCCAGAUCAUCCAUUCUAACGACGGCAAAAAAAUCUUAAUGACUAUGACCUUAGCAGCACGGGGAGCUGAUUUCCCCCAAUUAUAAAUCCCGUUAGUUUGCGGUAAUGUGAGCAGUAACCAGACUUUGCCUGACACUGCGUGGUCCAAAAGAAUUAAGGAAAUAUGGAAUGACAUGAAGGAGAUUAGUUGAGGAUUAAAGGCUUUGAGGACAAAACACCUCGCCGAGGUGAAGCACAGACUAGCGUUCUAGUUGUAGCUCCAAG